rnacentral:rRNA from 1 species
UCCUGGCUAGGAGAACGCUGGCGGCCCGCCUAACACAUGCAAGUCGAACGAGAGAUGAGGAGCUUGCUCUUCAAAUCGAGUGGCGAACGGGUGAGUAACGCGUGAGGAACCUGCCUCAAAGAGGGGGACAACAGUUGGAAACGACUGCUAAUACCGCAUAAGCCCACGGCUCGGCAUCGAGCAGAGGGAAAAGGAGCAAUCCGCUUUGAGAUGGCCUCGCGUCCGAUUAGCUAGUUGGUGAGGUAACGGCCCACCAAGGCGACGAUCGGUAGCCGGACUGAGAGGUUGAACGGCCACAUUGGGACUGAGACACGGCCCAGACUCCUACGGGAGGCAGCAGUGGGGAAUAUUGCACAAUGGGGGAAACCCUGAUGCAGCGACGCCGCGUGGAGGAAGAAGGUCUUCGGAUUGUAAACUCCUGUUGUUGAGGAAGAUAAUGACGGUACUCAACAAGGAAGUGACGGCUAACUACGUGCCAGCAGCCGCGGUAAAACGUAGGUCACAAGCGUUGUCCGGAAUUACUGGGUGUAAAGGGAGCGCAGGCGGGAGAACAAGUUGGAAGUGAAAUCCAUGGGCUCAACCCAUGAACUGCUUUCAAAACUGUUUUUCUUGAGUAGUGCAGAGGUAGGCGGAAUUCCCGGUGUAGCGGUGGAAUGCGUAGAUAUCGGGAGGAACACCAGUGGCGAAGGCGGCCUACUGGGCACCAACUGACGCUGAGGCUCGAAAGUGUGGGUAGCAAACAGGAUUAGAUACCCUGGUAGUCCACACCGUAAACGAUGAUUACUAGGUGUUGGAGGAUUGACCCCUUCAGUGC